CAUAAGGAAAUGAAUGGAUAAUAUUUCACAUUUUUACUGAGAUCCCAGGGCCCCUGUGAGUUUCCUUUUCAAUGCAGCUGCUUUGUCAUCUUCAGCCAACCAGACAUCUACCUUGCCCAGGCCUAAACAUUACAGAAAGAAAGGAAAGAAGGAAAAGGGGGGAAAAAGAGAAGAGGGGUAGGGAGGGAGGGAGAAAGAAAGAAAAAUAAGGAGAAAUCGAAGAGUUCUCUUCCUCCACCCUUUCCCCUCCCCUCUUCUGAGUAGUCUUAUUUUUGGAGGCUGCGCAGGAAGCUUUUCAGCACAGGAAAGAUCAUCUCACAGUAAGAGGGGGGAAAGAAAAUAGCAGUAGCUGUCAUCCAGGAUGGAAGGGGGUGGGUGAUGCUUCAGGUUCUCCCUGAAAUGUCGGCAAGAGGAUUCGAAGGAUCCCCGAUGUCUCUCCUGCUUUCCUGUCCCUCCUGCACUUUGACCCCCCCACCCCACCCCACCCCCAGCCAUGCCUCACUCUAUGUCUCCCGAAUGACAGACUCUAGUUAAUUUGGCCUUGGCUUUCACCAAGCAGCUGAUGCAGAGGAGGCCGCAGUUUGCCGGACUCGCAAAGUGGACGCUAGAGAAGGAAGGAAAGGGGGGAAAGCAGCUGUUGAGAGUUUUAGCAUUUUUUUCCCCUUUCCUUUGGGGAUUUUGGCCGAACACUUAAAGUAAAUACGGUCGGCUAUUUUGUGCCCCCAUCCUUCCUUUGCUUUUUUCCCCCAUCUUAUGUCAAACUGCAAACUGCAGAUCGAUAGACCCAAUGCAAUAUUCCCCACGCCAGUCUCAGCCCGUCCCCUUCCUCUCCAUUGAAAUACCUCACCCUGGCUACCUCCUGUUCCCUCCCCACGUCUUUUGGCUGCAGUUCCUGACGGUUGAAGCCCCUCGAUCCUCCAAAUGGAAAUCCUUUCCCAAUCAAGGGAUUCAAAUUGCAGAGAAUGCUACAUCAAUGGAUGCUGAAGCUACUAAGAUGUUGAAACAAACGAUGUGAUCAACUGGAAACAUCCCUUCUGCUAAAAGUGACAUCGAGAAGGCAUACUUCUGUAGAAAUUUUGGAACAAGUUGGAAUCAUCUCAGGAAACAGGAAAAUGAAAGUCCUGCUCUAAGCCAGGACUUCUAAGAUCAAUCAGUAGCAGUAUCUACCUUCCUGGUGAACUAUCAUGCAUUCCUUCUCUGUAUCCCUCUAUGUUUCAAAUGUAAAUUUAUUUUUCUCAUCUUUUUUCCUUAAUACUGAUACAUAGGGAAAUUUCAAUGUACUUGUUGAUUCAUACAUUUUUAAGACCCAAGGCUGAGUCAACACUUAGCAUUAUUUACAACAUAGAAUUAAUUUGAACUUCUGAGUGUCAUCUUGAGGCAACUGAAAAAAAAUGAAACCCUUUUGGAGUAAGAAGUAUUUUAAAAGUGGCAAAGAGUUGGAAAUCGCUGGGAUGUCCAUCAACUGGGGAACAGCUGAAC